rnacentral:rRNA from 1 species
CCUACGGGAGGCAGCAGUGGGGAAUAUUGCACAAUGGGCGAAAGCCUGAUGCAGCGACGCCGCGUGAGGGAUGACGGCCUUCGGGUUGUAAACCUCUUUCAGUAGGGAAGAAGCGAAAGUGACGGUACCUGCAGAAGAAGCACCGGCUAACUACGUGCCAGCAGCCGCGGUAAU